CGCGUAGGCGGUCUCCUAAGUCAGAUGUGAAAGCCCUCGGCUUAACCGAGGAAGUGCAUUUGAUACUAGGUGACUUGAGUAUGGGAGAGGGAAGCGGAAUUCCUGGUGUAGCGGUGAAAUGCGUAGAUAUCAGGAGGAACACCGGUGGCGAAGGCGGCUUCCUGGACCAAUACUGACGCUGAGGCGCGAAGGCGUGGGGAGCAAACA
rnacentral:rRNA from 1 species